CUUUGAUGACCAGAAGCCCUCUCCUGAGGCCUCGCCUCUUAAAGUUCUCCCUAUCUCCCGAGAGCACUAUGGACUGGGGCUAAGCCUUUGUCACAUGGGCUUUUGGGGACAUCCUAGAUCCAAACCGUAGCACCAUCAUUUGCUCAAAUCCAGCUGGCCCACUUUGGCUGCUUAUUUUUUUGGCAAGGCUUAGAGGCAUUUCUUCACACACCACUGAGCACAAACCCAUUGCAGUUCCCCUGCUGGGAGAGCAGUGGUAGGGAGUCUGCGCGGUCGCAGUGGUGCCCAGCGUCCACCCACUGUGAAGGGAGCGGCCAUCACUGGUCCCCAGUUUGCUCAUGCCUGCCCUCACCCACCCGAAGCUCACAGAGAUGAUGAAUCCCAGCAGUAAAAGAACAACUUCAGGAAGAGUGCCUCUGGGUUUGAGGGCUGACCCUAGGUAUCCCCCGG
rnacentral:lncRNA from 1 species